CACGUAGGGGGCAAGCGUUGUCCGGAUUUAUUGGGCGUAAAGAGCGCGCAGGCGGUCGUUCAAGUCGAGUGUGAAAGCCCCCGGCUCAACUGGGGAGGGUCACUUGAUACUGAUCGACUCGAAGGCAGGAGAGGGAAGCGGAAUUCCCGGUGUAGUGGUGAAAUGCGUAGAUAUCGGGAGGAACACCAGUGGCGAAGGCGGCUUCCUGGCCUGUUCUUGACGCUGAGGCGCGAAAGCUAGGGGAGCAAACGGG
rnacentral:rRNA from 1 species